rnacentral:rRNA from 1 species
UACGAAGGGGGCUAGCGUUGCUCGGAAUGACUGGGCGUAAAGGGCGCGUAGGCGGAUGGCACAGUCAGAUGUGAAAUUCCCGGGCUUAACCUGGGGGCUGCAUUUGAUACGUGUUGUCUAGAGUGAGGAAGAGGGUCGUGGAAUUCCCAGUGUAGAGGUGAAAUUCGUAGAUAUUAGGAAGAACACCAGUGGCGAAGGCGGCUCACUGGCCCGGUACUGACGCUGAGGCGCGAAAGCGUGGGGAGCAAACAGG